UACGUAGGGAGCAAGCGUUGUUCGGAUUUACUGGGCGUAAAGGGCGCGUAGGCGGCAGAUCAAGUCAGCUGUGAAAUCUCCGAGCUUAACUCGGAACUGUCAGCUGAUACUGUUUUGCUAGAGUGCGGAAGGGGCAAUCGGAAUUCUUGGUGUAGCGGUGAAAUGCGUAGAUAUCAAGAGGAACACCUGAGGUGAAGACGGGUUGCUGGGCCGACACUGACGCUGAGGCGCGAAAGUCAGGGGAGCAAACGGG
rnacentral:rRNA from 1 species